UACGUAGGGAGCGAGCGUUGUCCGGAUUCAUUGGGCGUAAAGAGCUCGUAGGCGGCUUGGUAAGUCGGAUGUGAAACCUCCAGGCUCAACCUGGAGUCGCCAUCCGAUACUGCCAUGGCUAGAGUCCGGUAGGGGCCCACGGAAUUCCUGGUGUAGCGGUGAAAUGCGCAGAUAUCAGGAGGAACACCGGUGGCGAAGGCGGUGGGCUGGGCCGGCACUGACGCUGAGGAGCGAAAGCAUGGGGAGCGAACAGG
rnacentral:rRNA from 1 species